ACACAUGCAAGUCGAGGGGCAGCGGGAUUGAAGCUUGCUUCAAUCGCCGGCGACCGGCGCACGGGUGAGUAACGCGUAUCCAACCUUCCGUACACUCAGGGAUAGCCUUUCGAAAGAAAGAUUAAUACCUGAUGGUAUCUUAAGCACACAUGUAAUUAAGAUUAAAGAUUUAUCGGUGUACGAUGGGGAUGCGUUCCAUUAGGUAGUAGGCGGGGUAACGGCCCACCUAGCCUACGAUGGAUAGGGGUUCUGAGAGGAAGGUCCCCCACAUUGGAACUGAGACACGGUCCAAACUCCUACGGGAGGCAGCAGUGAGGAAUAUUGGUCAAUGGACGAGAGUCUGAACCAGCCAAGUAGCGUGAAGGAUGAAGGUCCUACGGAUUGUAAACUUCUUUUAUAAGGGAAUAAACCCUCCCACGUGUGGGAGCUUGUAUGUACCUUAUGAAUAAGCAUCGGCUAACUCCGUGCCAGCAGCCGCGGUAAUACGGAGGAUGCGAGCGUUAUCCGGAUUUAUUGGGUUUAAAGGGAGCGCAGACGGGUCGUUAAGUCAGCUGUGAAAGUUUGGGGCUCAACCUUAAAAUUGCAGUUGAUACUGGCGUCCUUGAGUGCGGUUGAGGUGUGCGGAAUUCGUGGUGUAGCGGUGAAAUGCUUAGAUACCACGAAGAACUCCGAUUGCGAAGGCAGCACACUAAGCCGUAACUGACGUUCAUGCUCGAAAGUGUGGGUAUCAAA
rnacentral:rRNA from 1 species